GUGCUCGCUUCAACAGCACAUACACACAAAUCACAACGACACAGAGAUUAACAUGGCCGCUGUGCAAGGAUGACAUGCAAAUUCGUAAUGUGUUCCAUUAAAAG
ensembl:snRNA U6 U6 spliceosomal RNA